rnacentral:rRNA from 1 species
CCGCACAAGCGGUGGAGCAUGUGGUUUAAUUCGAUGCAACGCGAAAACCUUACCUACCCUUGACAUGUCCGGAAUCCCGAAGAGAUUUGGGAGUGCUCGCAAGAGAACCGGAACACAGGUGCUGCAUGGCUGUCGUCAGCUCGUGUCGUGAGAUGUUGGGUUAAGUCCCGCAACGAGCGCAACCCUUGUCAUUAGUUGCCAUCAUUUGGUUGGGCACUCUAAUGAGACUGCCGGUGACAAACCGGAGGAAGGUGGGGAUGACGUCAAGUCCUCAUGGCCCUUAUGGGUAGGGCUUCACACGUCAUACAAUGGUCGGUACAGAGGGUUGCCAACCCGCGAGGGGGAGCUAAUCCCACAAAGCCGAUCGUAGUCCGGAUCGCAGUCUGCAACUCGACUGCGUGAAGUCGGAAUCGCUAGUAAUCGCGGAUCAGCAUGUCGCGGUGAAUACGUUCCCGGGUCUU